rnacentral:rRNA from 1 species
UACGUAGGGGGCAAGCGUUUGUUCGGAAUUACUGGGCGUAAAGAGUGUGUAGGCGGUGUUCCCAGUCUGUUGUGAAAUCUCCCGGCUUAACUGGGAGGGUGCAGCGGAAACUAGAAUGCUAGAGGGUGGGAGAGGUAAGCGGAAUUCCUGGUGUAGCGGUGAAAUGCGUAGAUAUCGGGAGGAACAUCAGUGGCGAAGGCGGCUGCCUGGCCCAAUACUGACACUCAGGUGCGACAGCGGUGGGGAGCAAACAGG